rnacentral:rRNA from 1 species
UACGGGGGGAGCAAGCGUUGUUCGGAUUUACUGGGUGUAAAGGGCGCGUAGGCGGUCAGCACAAGUCAGUUGUGAAAUCUCCGGGCCUAACUCGGAAAGGUCAACUGAUACUGUGCGACUAGAGUGCGGAAGGGGCAACUGGAAUUCUCGGUGUAGCGGUGAAAUGCGUAGGUAUCGAGAGGAACACCUGCGGCGAAGGCGGCUACCUGGACAAUUGCUGACGCUCAGGCACGAAAGCGUGGGGAGCAAAAGGG